UACGUAGGGCGCAAGCGUUGUCGGAAUUAUUGGGCGUAAAGAGCUCGUAGGCGGCUUGUCACGUCGGGUGUGAAAGCCCGGGGCUUAACCCCGGGUCUGCAUUCGAUACGGGCUGGCUAGAGUGUGGUAGGGGAGAUCGGAAUUCCUGGUGUAGCGGUGAAAUGCGCAGAUAUCAGGAGGAACACCGGUGGCGAAGGCGGAUCUCUGGGCCAUUACUGACGCUGAGGAGCGAAAGCGUGGGGAGCGAACAGG
rnacentral:rRNA from 1 species